rnacentral:rRNA from 1 species
AGAGUUUGAUCAUGGCUCAGGAUAAGCGCUGGCGGCGCACAUAAGACAUGCAAGUCGAACGGACUUAAUCGAUUCUUUUAGAUUCGAAGCGGUUAGUGGCGGACUGGUGAGUAACACGUAAGCAACCUACCUAUUAGAGGGGAAUAACAGUGAGAAAUCACUGCUAAAACCGCAUAUGCCGUGAACAUCGCAUGAUGAAAACGGGAAAAGAGCAAUCCGCUAACAGAUGGGCUUGCGGCUGAUUAGCUAGUUGGUUAGGUAAAGGCUGACCAAGGCAACGAUCAGUAGCCGAGUUGAGAGACUGAACGGCCACAUUGGGACUGAGAUACGGCCCAGACUUCUACGGGAGGCAGCAGUCGGGAAUAUUGCGCAAUGGAGGGAACUCUGACGCAGUGACGCCGCGUAUAGGAAGAAGGUUUUCGGAUUGUAAACUAUUGUCGUUAGGGAAGAAAAAGGACAGUACCUAAGGAGGAAGCUCCGG